UACGAAGGGGGCUAGCGUUGCUCGGAAUCACUGGGCGUAAAGCGCACGUAGGCGGAUUGUUAAGUCGGGGGUGAAAUCCUGGAGCUCAACUCCAGAACUGCCUUCGAUACUGGCGAUCUCGAGUUCGGGAGAGGUGAGUGGAACUGCGAGUGUAGAGGUGAAAUUCGUAGAUAUUCGCAAGAACACCAGUGGCGAAGGCGGCUCGCUGGGCCACACCUGACGCUGAGACGCGAAAGCUAGGGGAGCGAACAGG
rnacentral:rRNA from 1 species